AGAUGUGAGGGUGAUCUGGCUGCGACAUCUGUCACCCCAUUGAUCGCCAGGGUUGAUUCGGCUGAUCUGGCUGGCUAGGCACGUGUCUCCUUCCUCCCUCACCGCUCCAUGUGCGUCCCUCCCGAAACUGUGCGCUCAGUGGAAGAGGAUGACCAUCCCAGAGAGAAGGAGUGUACAGUGGACG